UACGGAGGAGGCAAGCGUUAUCCGGAAUUAUUGGGCGUAAAGCGUCCGCAGGUGGCACCUCAAGUCUGCUGUCAAAGACCGGGGCUUAACCCCAGAAAGGCAGUGGAAACUGAAGUGCUAGAGUGCGGUAGGGGUAGAGGGAAUUCCCGGUGUAGCGGUGAAAUGCGUAGAGAUCGGGAAGAACAUCGGUGGCGAAAGCGCUCUACUGGACCGCAACUGACACUCAGGGACGAAAGCUAGGGGAGCGAAUGGG
rnacentral:rRNA from 1 species